GGACGAACGCUGGCGGCGCGCUUAACACAUGCAAGUCGAACGGAAGAGACCGGAAUGAAGUUUCGACAGAAUGAAGGUCAAUUUAGUGGCGGACGGGUGAGUAACACGUGAGUAAUCUGCCUAUCAGAGGGGGAUAGCGUUUGGAAACGAACGAUAAUACCGCAUAAGCCGGGAACGCCGCAUGGCGAAACCGGAAAAGGAGCAAUCCGCUAUGAGAUGGGCCCGCGGCGCAUUAGCUAGUUGGUGAGGUAACGGCUCACCAAGGCGACGAUGCGUAGCCGACCUGAGAGGGUGAUCGGCCACAUUGGGACUGAGACACGGCCCAGACUCCUACGGGAGGCAGCAGUGGGGAAUAUUGCACAAUGGGGGAAACCCUGAUGCAGCAACGCCGCGUGAGUGAUGACGGCCUUCGGGUUGUAAAGCUCUGUCUUCAGGGACGAUAAUGACGGUACCUGAGGAGGAAGCCACGGCUAACUACGUG
rnacentral:rRNA from 1 species